AUUGAACGCUGGCGGCAGGCCUAACACAUGCAAGUCGAACGAGUGGCGGACGGGUGAGUAAUGUCUGGGAAACUGCCCGAUGGAGGGGGAUAACUACUGGAAACGGUAGCUAAUACCGCAUACCAUCAGAUGUGCCCAGAUGGGAUUAGCUAGUUGGUGGGGUAACGGCUCACCAAGGCGACGAUCACUAGCUGGUCUAAGAGGGUGACCAGCCACACUGAAACUGAGACACGGUCCAGACUCCUACGGGAGGCAGCAGUGGGGAAUAUUGCACAAUGGGCGAAAGCCUGAUGCAGCCAUGCCGCGUGUAUGAAGAAGGCCUUCGGGUUGUAAAGUACUUUCAGCGGGGAGGCGUUACCCGCAGAAGAAGCACCGGCUAACUCCGUGCCAGCAGCCGCGGUAAUUC
rnacentral:rRNA from 1 species